rnacentral:tRNA from 1 species
GGGUCGGUGGUCGAGUGGUUAAUGGCACCGGGCUGUAAACCCGGCUCGCGAAGGCGAUACGCAGGUUCAAAUCCUGCCCGGCCCACCA